GAUGAACGCUAGCUACAGGCUUAACACAUGCAAGUCGAGGGGCAGCGCAGUGUAGUAAUACAUGGGCGGCGACCGGCGCACGGGUGCGUAACGCGUAUCCAACCUUCCCGUUACUCAGGGAUAGCCUUCCGAAAGGGAGAUUAAUACCUGAUGGUGUUCAAAUUCCGCAUGUUAUUUGAACUAAAGAUUUAUCGGUAGCGGAUGGGGAUGCGUGACAUUAGAUAGUAGGCGGGGUAACGGCCCACCUAGUCUACGAUGUCUAGGGGUUCUGAGAGGAAGGUCCCCCACACUGGAACGGGGACACGGUCCAGACUCCUACGGGAGGCAGCAGUGAGGAAUAUUGGUCAAUGGUCGGAAGACUGAACCAGCCAAGUAGCGUGAAGGAUGAAGGUUCUAUGGAUUGUAAACUUCUUUUAUACGGGAAUAAAACCACCUACGUGUAGGUGCUUGUAUGUACCGUAUGAAUAAGCAUCGGCUAACUCCGUGCCAGCAGCCGCGGUAACAC
rnacentral:rRNA from 1 species